rnacentral:rRNA from 1 species
UACGGAGGAUGCGAGCGUUGUCCGGAAUGACUGGGCGUAAAGGGCGUGUAGGCGGUUCUUUAAGUUUGGAGUGAAAGUCCCGCAUUCAAUGUGGGAAUUGCUUUGAAUACUGGAGGACUUGAGUGCGGAAGAGGUAAGUGGAAUUCCCAGUGUAGCGGUGAAAUGCGUAGAGAUUGGGAGGAACACCAGUGGCGAAGGCGACUUACUGGGCCGUAACUGACGCUGAGGCGCGAAAGCGUGGGGAGCGAAC